GCUGGUGUACCAGUUGUUCCGCCAGGAGCACCGCUGGGUAGCUAUGUACGGAAGGGAUAAGCGCUGAAAGCAUCUAAGCGUGAAGCCCCCCUCAAGAUGAGAUUUCCCAGUAUGUAAGACCCCUUGAAGACGACGAGGUAGAUAGGUUGGGGGUGGAAGUGCAGUAAUGCAUGGAGCUGACCAAUACUAAUCGGUCGAGGGCUUAUCCUAA
rnacentral:rRNA from 1 species